UUCCUUCUAUAUCAUUUUGAUCUCUCUUUAAGUCUUUCAUAGAGGCCUAAUAAUUUGUUCAUUGUUGAGUUGCGUUUGGAUGCUAGUUGCCACAUCAUCAUUAUCGGAUUACACAUUACCUAAGGAAUCUAAACCAAUAAUCAAAAUCAAAUUUUGACUUAUAUGUCUAGUCCAAUUGCUCAAUUUAGACUAUGAAAAUUCAAGAUUUCAUGGUUCAAGUUACUCCUAAUUUAUUUAUAAUAACGAGACGUGAUUUAGCUAGAAUAUUAGACAGCACAUUCUUCUUUAGAGACUGUGACAAGCUAUUAGAUAUCAACUAAGUUAGGUGUCUAUGAUGUGCACUGUGCCAGUAUUUUACAUGUCUGGAAAAAAAAAGCUAGCGAAGUAGAAAAAGAUCGCGGGCUUUUCAUCUGUCAUUUUGAUCUCUCUUGAAGUGAGUUGUUUUUCUUUGUUGCACUUUGCAACUGAUGGUUUAUUGCUGCACUUCUGGGGACGUGCAGUGCCUUGCUCUUUGGACUUUACAACAACACCUUCCCUGCAAAGGCUAGUUGAAAUGUGUUCUAUUUACUGACCUGGAAGGAUGAACAUAUUGUAUCACCUUUCCUUUGUCUCUUGUUUUCUCUUUUCUGAUAACAGUACUUCAGGUUGAUUUCUUACUAGAUCAUGUCAAAUGGGACGACAAAGGCCUUGCGGUUGCUAUAGCCCAAAAUGUUGAUACAGGAGCAGUCUUAAUGCAAAUGGUGUCCGGGCUAGCUUUUGGGCACCUCGACUAGUUCCACGUGAUACAUGUCAAUUAUGUUUAGCUUGUCUAGGAAUGAGUUUGUGGUUUAUUAAUACAUCAGAUAUAAUCAGGUGCAUUUUGUGUCAAUUAUGGUAUAUAUAUUGAUAACCGUGGUGUCCUGGCCAGCUUUCGCGCGCCUCGAGCCCUCAACUAGUUCCACGGAUACCUGACAAUUAUGUUUAGCUUGUUUGUGAAUGAAUUUGUAGUUUAUAAAUACAUCAGAUAUGUGUCCAUUAUGGUGGAUAUUUGUUUAAGGCUAGGGUAGUAAAAAUGAUAGUUGAGUUCCUUGUAUUUCAUUUUGAUCUCUCUUUAAGUCUUCAUAGAGGCCUAAUAAUUUGUUCAUUUUUGAGUUGCGUUUGGAUGCUAGUUGCCACAUCAUCACUAUCGGAUUACACAUUACCUAAGGAAUCUAAACCAAUAAUCAAAAUCAAAUUUUGACUUAUAUAUCUAGUCCAAUUGCUCAAUUUAGACUAUGAAAAUUCAAGAUUUCAUGGUUCAAGUUACUCCUAAUUUAUUUAUA
rnacentral:lncRNA from 1 species